GGCGAGUAACACAUAUUUAACUUACCUGCGUGAGGGAGAUAGCAACUCGAAAGAGUUAUUAAUAACCCAUAGGUUUAAUUCAUUAAAUUAAAGGGGGCGUUCCGGGCAACCGGAGCCUCGCGAGCAGAGAGGAGUAUGUCCUAUUAGGUUGUUGGUGGGGUAAAUGCCUACCAAGCCGUUGAUGGGUAGCUGGACUGAGAGGUCGACCAGCCGCAAUGGGAUUGAAAUACGGCCCAUAUUCCUACGGGAAGCAGCAGUGAGGAAUUUUUCACAAUGGACGAAAGUCUGAUGGAGCAAUACCAUGUGAACGAUGAAGGUCUUCUGAUUGUAAAGUUCUUUUAUUUAGGAAAAAAAGCUUGAUAG
rnacentral:rRNA from 1 species